GCCUCUUGCUAUUGUAACAUCCUUUUAGCAGGCGACGUUCAGUGGAGUAUUAACGUUAGUAUAGUCAGCGAAAUCGUUUUUAAAUGCGGUUUUAGUUGUUAGUACUUACACUAAUUUAAUUACUAGUUAUAUUGUUUUUAACAUAUGUAUGUUGUAAAUGUAAAGCUUUUAGACGAAAAAGAAGGUGGUCAGCUUUCUGGUGCUAUGUGCGUUUUUUUUUUUUUUUAAGUUUGUAAAGUGUAAAUGAGAUUAAACGGAGGUGUUUUCUUGAUCAUGCCGGUGGACACAUUGGAUCGUAUUCUGUAAGUUGAUAAUUUUUAUUCAUAUUUAACAGCAAUACUGAAAGCUAAUGUGUGGUUUAAAUAAGUUUUGUUGGUCGCCGAAUUGGCAGGUGCAUCUGCUUUGCUAACUACAUCCAGAUGCCUCAUGUUGUAAGCCCGGCUGUGUUAUUACUGUAGGGUUUUAGCCUGAACCCAGUCCGCCGCUGCUCAGACCAGACGUGAUGAUUUUGCAGUCCGUGUUUCACCUGAAUCAAAUGAUUACAAACCUACUGCACUGACUGGUUAAAGUUGCGGAGUAAAGCGACGACAUGUUUUGGUUUCCCCCGGAAUUCAUUCUGAUAUUUAUUUCUGUUUAUUUACAGAGACCCGCGUUUAUGGAAGUGAGGUGAGUUCAAAUCUUUUGUGCCUCUUGCAAACUAGUGACUUCCGUUGAGGUGAUGAGUUGCAUGUCGUCCGUGUUUCUAAAAGAGUGAUUAGUAACAUGCUCUGACUAAAGUGUUAAUAUUUUGGUUUCCCACAGAAUAUUUUGUAAUGUGCAUUGUUUACUUUUUUACAGGGACCGGUUUUUACAGAAAAUGAGGCGAGUACAAAUCUCAUGUCUCAUAGACUAUUGUUUUCUCUUGAGGUGAUGAGUUGCAUGUAGUCCGUGUUUCUGAUGAAGUGAUUAUUAACAUGCUCUGAUAAAAGUGUUAAGAGGUGAAAACGAACCACAGUUUAGUGUAAACCCAUUUAACAUCUUCACUAAUGUUCUGCAGGAACUUCAACUUUUGAAAGCAGGGGAAGUGUUGAAUAAGGUAUUUACUUCAUGUGACCGAACUUUUGCUAUGGAUUUAAAAUGAGGUCUCCUGACCUUUAUUUCCCCAGAGAUAAAAACCCAAUUGUUACAGAAGAUUAGAUUGUAUAACUGUAGUUUGUAAUCUGGAGUGUGCUGUAUGUCCAUGUUUUCUUGCUACAUAUUGCCAAGAUGCCAGCAAUGCGUGACCCUGGUCCACAAAACCAGUCUUAAAGAAAUCCACUUCCAAAACAAAGAUUCACAUAUAAUGUACUCGCCCCCCCCUUGUCGUCCAAGAUUUUCAUGCCUGACUUCAGUCGUAAAGAAACUUCUUGAAGUGGACUAUUACUUUCUAGUAGCAUGUGUAUAUUUCUGGCAAUAUUCAAAAACUCAUUGUAUGGGUUAAAAUGAUCAAUUUUUCUUUUAUGCCAAAUAUCGUUAGAAUAUUAAGUAAAGAUCAUUCUCCAUGAAGAUAAUUUGUGAAUUUUCUACCUUAAUAUAUUAUUUUUUGAUCGAUUAAUAUAUGUUGCUUAGAAUUUAUUUUAUUUUUGCACCCUCCGAUUUCAGAUUUUCAAGUAGUUGCGUCUCUGCCAAAUAUUGUCCUGUCCUAAUGAACCGUACAUCAGUGGAAGGCUUCUUCAGCUUUCAGAAUUUUUUUUUUUUUUUUUUUUUUUUUUUUUUUUUUUUUUUUUUUUUUUUAA